rnacentral:rRNA from 1 species
AUGUCGCCACCACCUCUAGCUUGCCACUUGAUGCCACAUAUAUCUUGCUCAACCAUCCUGCAGAUGAUUCGCCAGAUGCCGGUCGCAUCCGGGGCGAUCGCCUCUGCCUUGUUGUUCACCACUCUCCUGUCCCUCCUAUUCCUGUCUGAACAUUUCGAGACACAAGAGGAGGAGCUAGCUGCUGCAGGACGCGGGUCGUCACCGAGAUUGUCGGAGUUGGCUUGCAGUAGCUUCCUCCUUGAUCUCUGCAGCUGCUGCCUCGGCGCCAGCCGGGUUUCGCCUCCAUCUGGUACAUGCAGAGACAAUGAUGCCUCAUCAGUACAUGAACAAGCAAACUGA